rnacentral:tRNA from 1 species
GGCACUGUAGCCAAGUGGUUACGGCGUCACGUUUAGGCCGUGAUGGGAAACCGCGCGAGUUCGAAUCUCGUCAGUGUCA